AACACACCGCAAUGUGAGUGCGACGGAUUUUGCCGCGCCGUGAACAAUGAGCCUGCCGCAGCAUACCAGGCCGGUUGGUGUGCGUACUGCGGCCACAGUCCAGUACAUGUUCGAAUUGGUGUUGCUCAACAAUACGAAUGUACUGCCACUGGAGGUGCCAACACCAGCAGCUUCGUAAUGCCUGCUUCACAGCAUAGCAUAACGGAGACGCCAUUCAUCAAAUGACAGGCACAGAACAAAGCUUGCAAGGACCUUGUGAAACUCCUGAUACGGAAUUCACCUCUCUACAAUCUGCAGCUACCUUGACAACUGAUGCAAGGUCUAGUACUUGUACUGAGACACUUGAGGCUUCCACGAGGUCAACCGCAGUUGCCACAACAGAUGACGCAUUAAGCUACCCCUCGGCAUUUAGACAAACUCCAGGACUGCUUCAGAGUGUUGUGGUCAAGGCAGACAAGUUUCCCCAGUGCUGGGCAAACAGCAAGCUUCUGCACAUUUUGCGUCAGUUAAAGUGUAGCUGGAUGCACGACUUGUUACAUUUUCAGUGUUCGCUAUCAAGGUGCUGUUAGAGUGUACUAGAACAGGGUAGUUCUUGGAACGAGCUUCUAAAAGUGAAGCCAAAACAGGGUCCAUCCGCUUGUGGCAUUGCGAUCGGUAGUCUGCAAUGCGUCUUUGUUUAAAAGCUGCACACCGCUGAUUGCAGCGCCACAAGUGGAUUGACCCGGUUUGGGCUUCACUUUCUGUAAUGCGGCCGUUCCGACCACUCCUUUAUUCUAGUACAUUCUAGUGCUGUGUUACACAAGGCAGUGUUUGAUUUUAAGAAUAUUAUUUCUUUAUUGGAGGACAGCAAUCUUACGAUAGUGCAUAACUAGCAUUCAACUAUCUUUGGGAUGUUGUGCAAAUGACGCAGGACAAAAGGGCGAUGCAGGCCACACGCAUGCUACACUGUGUAUGCGUCACUCUUUUGCCCUCUGUCGUGUGAGCUGUGCCUAAGGCUUUUUGUAUGAAAAGCUCGACAUACAAUUUAUGUUAAGAAUCAGAUAGUCACUGACAUCUUAUGUUAUUUAUUUGCAGUUGUGAAUAAAUGUCCUAGAUUCCAAAAUCGUAUAAAGAUACUGGAAUGGUUCAGAGUACCCGAAAUAUUUUAAUGUAACAUGAUUUGAUGACCAGUUUUUUUUCGUUUGUUUAACAGAAGCUAUACCGAGUUGUGUUAAGACACAAAAAAUUUUCAUGAGGGAGCACAGUGUUAAUACACUGAUGCUCUCUCUGGCCCACUUUAUAACUUGCUAACAACGAGUAUUAGCUUAUGGGGCAACUGAGUGAGCUGAAAAGAGUGCUAAAACAUUGUGUUGUGGCCCUGUGUGGCCUUUUGUUUCCUUUUCUUUUUUUUUAUGCCGCCUGAUACAAUUUCGCCUCUAGAAACAUAACUGAAUCUUGUGUGUAAAACACCUGAUAGAUAAGAAGUUUGUCAUCAUGCUCUGAAGUAUAUAUUUUUUUCUAAGGUUUUGAAGUCUUGAUGUCUUCGUUGAAGGCACAAGAUUAAAAAAGAGCCCUUCAUCAGUUCUGCUUUAGGGUGUAUGUUGGGAGCACAACUUUUCUAAUCAUUCUUUGUCGUGCUAU
rnacentral:lncRNA from 1 species